CGUAACUACCUGCCUCCUUUUCCCGACUCGGACUAACCACGAGAAAGAAGCGUCUACGGGCCUCCCUGAGGUCUUGAAGGAACCAAUGUGCGUUUCUAUAUCCUUAGUCCCGCCCCAACUCGGGCUAGCUUUUUCCGCCCUUUUCCUUCACUUCCUGGAACCCGGUUAGGUUUGAAAAAUCCGCGAGCCGCACACGAGGCCCGCUGCACCAAUCACUUCGGCAAUAGCCCUGACUCCACCAAUCAACGUCAGUAUUAUUGGAGAACCAAUUCCAAGACAUCCAAUGGGAAGGGAACUUCUGGAGCAGCGUGAAGUCGCACAUCUUCCAUCUUUGAACAGGGCCGCCUGGACCCCCGCCCUCAGCCUGUGGGUGUUGCCCGCGUGGUCUGGUUUGGGUCCUGCUUGGAUCCACCUACCGGCUGGCGUUCCCUGACGGAGGCCUCGAGAGAAACAGACCCUGAUUACAGGUGGAGUCGGUGUAGAACCCAGGAGUGCGUCCCUCGAGUCACGGUGGGAGAUGUGGCUGCUCGCGGGCGGAAACCACCGAACUAGGGAACCGGAGAAAGGCAGAUGAUGUGUGACACGUCAGGCAGUAAGAUCCUCCAACCUUGGUCCUUCCUUCACUCGCUCGCCUCUCAUCGGCCGCAGCAUCUGGUGUUCUGCCCCACACAGCCCUAGGCGGUAGGAUUUCCCCAUUUGUGGAUGAGGAAACCGAAGCUGUGGUGAAAAGACCGAACUUCUGGAAGAGGGCCCCAGGAUUUGAACCUUUAAAGUCAAGGCGUGCCAAGUCUCUACUAAAUGCGAAACUUCUGCAGGGACAGAAGACAGCCACCAGCCGUCAGUACUUUGGGAAGUCGGCCCUGAGUAGAAUUGGGGGAUUACUAAGAGACCUGGAUUCGGAGAAUAACGUUCAACCGAAACUUUGUAGCUUGCUGUUCUUCUCGACUUUUUAUUAUUAGAAACAAAAGUCAAAUCCUUGAUUUUGA